AGCGAACGUUUGCGGCGGGCCUAACACAUGCAAGUCGAACGCACUAGCAAUAGUGAGUGGCGCACGGGUGCGUAACACGUGGGUAAUCAACCCUUCAGCUUGGGAUAACGACUUGAAAGGGUCGCUAAUACCGGAUACGGCGAGAGAGGCUUCGGCAUUUCUCGAGAAAGCCUCGCAAGGGGCACUGAAGGACGAGCCUGCGGCCCAUCAGCUAGUUGGUGAGGUAAGAGCUCACCAAGGCGAAGACGGGUAGCUGGUCUGAGAGGAUGAUCAGCCACACUGGAACUGAGACACGGUCCAGACUCCUACGGGAGGCAGCAGUGGGGAAUAUUGCGCAAUGGGCGAAAGCCUGACGCAGCCACGCCGCGUGAGCGAUGAAGGCCUCGGUCGUAAAGCUCUGUGGGGAGAGACGAAGAAAGACCCGUCGAGAGCGGGCCGUUGACGGUAGUCUCCUUAGCAAGCACCGGCUAACUCCGUGCCAGCAGCCGCGG
rnacentral:rRNA from 1 species